AUAAAGGAGAAUGUGUUUAUAACUGCUAUGGAUGUGAACAGUCCCCAAAUUAUGAGGGUCAAUUUGGAGAAUAAGCAUAAACACAAAACACUAAAAUAAAUAAAUCUAAAUAAGAUGACUGAACAACAGAGAGCAGUGACAACACAUGAAAAUGCUAAAAUAGCUCCUCCCUCUUCUUAACACACGUGUACAAUAAAGAAACAUGUAAUGUCAGAGUGUUUGCAUUGACACCUGUGUAUAUGUAUAUCCAAGUCAGUUACAUAGAUCAUUGCUAUUUAAGGAUUUUCUCCAGUAAAGGUUCGAAAUGUUUGGAAUUUUGCUUUUGUCUGUGCUCACAGACUGUGCGCUGUCAUCGCUUGUGAUUCAGCAAACACCUUUAAAUCUUCUGAUAGAACCAGAACAACGACAAGCCAAGAUCGAAUGCUACCAUGGAGUGAGUGACUAUCCCUACAUGUACUGGUACCAGCACAAGUCAGCAGCAGGAGGCCAGCGGACAAUGGACCUGAUUGGACGGCUUCAAUAUGGAAACCCAACUCUUGAAAAGACCUUUGAGAGCAAAUUUAACAUAACAGGCUAUUCAACGGCCAAAGCUCAGCUUGAAAUCUCCAAUGUUAAUCCGGCAGACACAGCACAAUACUUCUGUGCUGCGAGUCGGCACAGUGUUUCAACUCCUCUGGCUGCUUUACAAAAACUGGUGGCGAACAGCAUCAAAACCCCACCUGCAUGAUUGAUAAAGGAGGAGUGACAGUUCUAAAGUCUGCCUUCUCACAGUUUCUCUCACUUUGGUCCUUUUAUCACUCCUCAGAUUAGGAUGUCAUUUCCUGCAUUGUUGGCUCUGGUUAUAUUUCUACCCAUUUAACUUCCUCUUCUAAAGGAAAAGAGACUCCUGGUUCUUUCUGCAGGUCAGGUGAGCACUGUUAUGUUUCACAAAUGUCCCCAAGAUAGUAAAUGAAAAGUUUCAUCUCCAAAUAAACUGCAAGCAUAAUGAUGCCUCUCUUGUAAUGAUGCUCUGGUAUCAGCAAAGACAGGAGAAUGUGUUUAUAACUGCUAUGAACAGUCCCCAAAUUAUGAGGGUCAAUUUGAAGAAUAAGCAUAACUUUUACAUUUGUUGCUUUUUAAAACCAGAAAUCAGGCUGAGAGUCAGACAGCCAGUAAAAAUGAAACAGAAUGAGGAUGAUUUUAAUUGCAAUCCAAUUAUAAUUUUAGAGUAAUGUCCUAUUCCUGUCAAACAGAAAGAGCAUCUAGCUCUUCAAUGGAGCCCCCUCUGACUAUUCAGGCAACCUUUUCAGUUAGCCUUAAUAAAAUGUAGUCUUCUCUAGCAUCCUCUUCUGUCACACAACCCUCCGCCUAUCCUCCUUCACUACAUCCAUAAAAAUUCUCUGUGAUGUUCUUGCUGCUUGAUAGCUCCAAUAUUAAACAUCAACAUUAAAAAUCCCCCAAUCGCUCAACCUGAGCUAUCCCUCUGAUGUACUCGUAUCUAAUUUUGUCCAUUCUGGUCACUCCCAAUGAAAAACUUAACAUUUUCAACUCUGUCACUUCCAGCUCAGCCUCCUGUCUUUGCGUUAGUGCUACUCACUCCAAACCAUGUUGUAAACCUUCCCUUUCACUCUUGCUGCUUUCCGUGUGUCACAUAAGACUUUGUCUUAAUAAAAUGACUGAACAGCAGAGAGCAGUGACAACACAUGAAAAUGCUAAGAUAGCUCCUCCCUCUUCUUAACACACGUGUACAAUAAAGAAACAUGUAAUGUCAGAGUGUUUGCACUGACACCUCUGUAUAUCUAGCUCCAAGUCAGUUACAUAGAUCAUUGCUAUUUCAGGAUUUUCUCAAGUAAAUUUUCGAAAUGUUUGGAAUUUUGGUUUUGUCUUUGCUCACAGGUAGGUAGAAAAAAAAGAUGUGUGUACUUUCUCAUAACAAUAUUAAUCCUUCCUGUGAACCUUCAGUUUGGUUUUUGUCCUCUAGACUGUGCGCUGUCAUCGCUUGUGAUUCAGCAAACACCUUUAAAUCUUCUGACAGAACCAGAACAACGACAAGCCAAGAUCGAAUGCUACCAUGGAGCGAGUGACUAUACCUACAUGUACUGGUACCAGCACAAGUCAGCAGCAGGAGGUCAGCGAACAAUGGACCUGAUUGGACGGCUUGAAUAUGGUGCCCCAACUCUUGAAAAGAGCUUUAAGAGCAAAUUUAACAUAACAGGCCAUGCAACGGCCAAAGCUCAGCUUGAAAUCUCCAAUGUUAAUCCAGCAGACACAGCACAAUACUUCUGUGCUGCGAGUCGGCACAGUGUUUCAACUCCUCUGGCUGCUUUACAAAAAGCUGGUGGCGAACAGCAUCAAAACCCCACCUGCAUGAUUGAUAAAGGAGGAGUGACAGUUCUAAAGUCUGCCUUCUCACAGUUUCUCUCACUUUGGUCCUUUUAUCACUGCUCAGAUUAGGAUGUCAUUUCCUGCAUUGUUGGCUCUGGUUAUAUUUCUACCCAUUUAAUUUCCUUUCUAAAGGAAAAGAGACCCCUGGUUCUUUCUGCAGGUCAGGUGAGCACUGUUAUGUUUCACAAAUCUCCCCAAGAUAAUGAAUGAAAAAAGUUUCAUCUCCAAAUACACCGCAAGCAUAAUGAUGCCUCUCUUGUAAUGAUGCUCUGGUAUCAGCAAAGACAGGAGAAUGUGUUUAUAACUGCUAUGGAUGUGAACAGUCCCCAAAUUAUGAGGGUCAAUUUGAAGAAUAAGCAUAACUUUUACAUUUGUUGCUUUUUAAAACCAGAAAUCAGGCUAAGAGUCAGACAGCCAGUAAAAAUGAAACAGAAUGAGGAUGAUUUUA
ensembl:lncRNA